AUGUAUGUGAAAGUAGAAUGUAUAUAUGUGAGAGUAGAAUAUAUAUGUAUGUGAGAGUAGAAUGUAUGUGUGUGAAAGGAGAAUGUACUGUAUAUGUGAGAGUGCCAGAAUGAAUUUUGGCUUGAUUGGCUCUUCAUAUCAGUGGCCUACAAAUAAACUGGCUUGAUUAGCUGCUUCAGAUGUGUUUGAUCAGGGUUGGGAUUAAACUCACAGUGAGUCUACAAUAAAAAGGGUUAAAGAACUGAUCAAGGAUGUAAAACUCUCUCUCUCUCUCUCUCUCUCUCUCUCUCUCACUCAAUCACUCAAUCACACACACACACACAGACUGGUGUGAGGAGGGAGGGGGUAGGGGGGUUGGACAGAGAAAGACCCUACGUCUAUGUGUGUGUGUGAAAAAUCCACAUUCAAACCAAAAUAUCUGACUUCCUGUUGGUCGCAGCUAAUGACUGUAAAUUAGAAAGUUGUCCAGCUUAAUGAGAACAAUACGUGUCCUGAGUUUGGUGACUGUAGGUUAAACUAACCCCCCCACUUUUGUCAAAAGAUGGCGCUAUAGAGGCCCUGCUCCCCACCUGUUUCUACGGCUUUGCCCGUGUCUACUAGUUGACAUCUCUGACGUUUGUAUCGAGUUUCAAUAUGUUUCAAAAUGCUUCAAUUUGAAGCAUGCUAAGUGUCUCAAAAGCAUCCAUAAUGAAAAUUAAAGUUUGAUGCGUUGCCAUGGCAACAGUGUUUGAGAUAUCAUGAUUCUUUUCACAGGUCUAUAUCUGCUGUGUAUUGACAUUACACCGAUGAAGUUUGAAACAAAACAGGUCAACAUAGAUCUGCAACCUGCAAACUAAAUCUGACAACACACAAAUUACUUUUCAACAUCAUUUUGCAUGGCUUAACAUUCUUACCCCACUGGGAAAAAAAAUAAAGUGAACUAUGACAUAAUUUGAGCACUGUAUUCAAUUUGAUGUUGUUUGUUGUUAUGAAGUGACAUCUCAAUAUUUCAAAAGAUUCUGCAUGUUGUCAACUUCUUAACAGUAAUGCACUGUAUCUUAUGUGUAAUCCUGCUUUAUUGUCACUGUUACAUGUCAAUCAGAUAUGUUGAUUAGUAUAAACCCAUAAUGCUAUAUUUAUUUAUUGUAUUCUUUGUGAUCAAGAAAAGUGUAAAAUAAACACAAACUGACAUUU